rnacentral:rRNA from 1 species
UUGAGAACGAGAAGCAUUUCCAGGUGUUGUCAUAUGGGAUGAGAAGAUGCAGAGAUGCAUCGGAGGUUAUCAUCCACACAGGUGGUGCAUGGUUGUCGUCAGCUCGUGUCGUGAGAUGUUGGGUCAAGUAUCGCAACGAGAGCACCCCCUGUGUCAUGUUGCUAACAGGAAAAGCUGAGGACUCAAACCAGACUGCCGGUGACAAACCGGAGGAAGGCGGGGAUGACGUCAAAUCAUCAUGCCCCUUAUGGCCUGGGCUACACACGUACUACAAUGGGGGGUACAAAGAGGAGCGAGCCAGGGAUGUCGAGCGAAUCUCAUAAAACCCGUCCCAUUCGGAUUGGAGGCUGCAACUCGCCUCCAGAAGUUGGAAUCGCUAGUAAUCGCGAUCAG